rnacentral:rRNA from 1 species
GGGUCAGUAGGUUGGUCGUGCCACCGGUACGUACUGGUCUCACUGAUUCCUCCUUCCUGAAGAACCGUAAUGCCAUUAAUUUGGUGUUGCGGGGAAACAGGACUGUUACUUUGAAAAAAUUAGAGUGUUUAAAGCAAGCUAACGCUUGAAUACAUUAGCAUGGAAUAAUGAAAUAGUACCAUCGAUCCUAUUUUGUUGGUUUCUAGGAUUGACGUA